ACCGAAAGAAAUAGAGUGAAGCCUCUAAUUUUCUUGCUGCCUUGCUCUCUGGAGCUUUUCUUUUGUAUUGCUGUGCUUCCCCGCCAGUCUCUCCCUGCGCUGUCCAUCUCUUAUAUUUUUCUGUGCAGCUUGCAGUUUUGCUGCUUCUCUCACUCCCGUCUGACCUCUGCCACGCUGCCAAGGCAGCGUUCCUUUUCGCGUCAAUCCUCCCCUGUUUUUCAGCGCCUCUUCCGUUCUCUGCGAGCUGCCCAAAGGCAGCUCCCUUCUCCCACUCCAAGACCCCCCCUAUGCAGUGCUUUCUGUUUCUUUAUUCCUCUUGUUCUCUGCUUUUGACUCCUUGGAUUCCUUCUCCGCGUCCAGCUGCAAAGCAGCUCUCUCUCUUGGAUCCCUUUCACGUUUUCUGCUUUUCUCUAUUGCUCACGCUGUCUCUCCACUUCUUCUAUUUAAUUUCUCAGUGCUUUCCACUUUCUUCUCCUACAAACACAAUAAAUUAAAAGUAUCAUAAAUACUUAAAGCUUCCAACUAAAUUAGACAAGAAAAGAAAUAUAAAAGGAUGAAAUAUAUAGUUUAAAUAUUGGUUUAUCAUUUAGCGUCACAAUGGGUUAGCAAUAUUGUAAUUUAAAUUUGCUUUUGACGAAUUUAUUACAUAAAAUUUCACUUGUUCUAUUUUUAUUUUCUUUGCAUAACAAAUCCUAUAAACACAAAAAUAACGUAAAUAGCUCAAAAAUAUAAGGAACUAACUAAGAAAAGACGAGUGAAUUCGAAGUAAAAAUAUAUAUAAAUAUGAUCCGAUCAAAUACCCCCACACUUAACUUUUGCUAGUCCUCGAGCAAAACAAAGAAAACAAGAACAAGAAGUAACAAGAAAAACAUUAGCUUCCCCCUAUGUGACCCUCAUAGAAUUUCAUUCAAGAAAACAAAUCAUCAAGAACCAUAGCUAGCACCAAACAAGUUAAUCCAAGUUCAAAUUCCUAAUUCAAAUAUUAGCAGUAAUCUUUGAAUCAUCCUUGAAGUGUAGUGUGUGAGAUAGCCAUGCUAAUGCAAUUUCAAGUUUUUAUUUUUAAAAUCAUCAUAUGCAAACUAGCGACCUUCUCACUGAAUAUUCACUCAAUCACACAUGUGUUUAGUUUUAAUGUGUUUCGCUCAAAGAAUCAAAUGUGAAAUUUCUACCAUAAGCUUGCAUAAAGAUCUCAUCUCCACAAUCAUAAUUGCAAAACUUAAAUCAAGAGGACUUUUAUUGGACGUAAUGAGGUUUAGGGAGAGGGGUAUUGAAAUGAAAGAAUAGGUAAACACAAGUUCCAAGCUACAUUGCAAGCAAUUCUUUUGUUUAGAUUUAUAAGAACUCAAUAUUUUCAGCGAUUCUUCUAGCACCUCCAACCACACCCUUAAACUGAAAAUUAAACAACUUUUCAUUUUCUUUGUAUACAAUCUUUUUUUUUUUUUUUUUUUUUUUUUUUUUUUUUUUUUUUUUUUUUUUUUUUACAAACAUGAAAUACCCCCACACUUAUUCUUUUGCCAAACACCUUCUUAGUACUUCACAAACAUUUCUCAUAAGACAAUCUCACAUUGCUCACUAGCUUACUUGGAAAGGGUAAGGAAAAAAAAAUGUUUCAGGUAUAAGGGUAGACAUAUCUGGUGAUAAGAAAUAAAAGGCUCAACAUACACGGCUCAAAUUGGCAAUCUAAUGAUAUCAUUUUUAUUUGGGAAACAUGGUUAUUUGGGCCAUAGUGGUAAACCUAAUGCCUCUAUCAUUUCCAAGUUCAUGCAAUCAAUGACAAACAUUUCGAAAGAUCGUUACGCAAGUUCUAGAGAUGUAUCUCACAUAAGUUCAUCACACAUGAAAGAAUAGGAGUGUAUGAAAAAUGCACACACUUUCAAUCGGCUCAAAAACUCACAUAGGAUGUAUAUGGUCACUAAAUUCACAUAUGAUGCUUUAAGUCAUACUUUAGUUUCACAUUAACAAGGCUAUGUGCAUUUGGUUUUUCAAAGAUGGUCAAACAUGUACAAAACUAACAAGAGAAUUAGGAAUUUCAUAAAGCACAUGUUAACUAAGUUCUUGAUAAUCGUGAUUCAAGAUUGAUCUAAUUAUAUCAUUGGGUCGGGAAACUAACAAAAAUCUAAUUCAAAACAAUAAGGGAAACAAGACAAUAUUUUUGGAUUUUUAAAUUUUCCGAAAUUUUUUUAAUUAAAUUUUUUUUUUUUAAAAGAAAACAAAACUAAUUAAGAACACAAAAAACAACAACACAGUUUUUUUUUAUUUUUUUAUUUUAAAAGAAAACAAAACUAAUUAAGAACACAAAAAAACAACAACACAGAGACAAAUGAAAUUCUGGAGAUUUCUACCCCCACACUUAAACUUGACAUUGUCCCCAAUGUCAGAAAACACUAUAAUGCAAAUAAAAAUAAAAUAAAUAAAUAAUAAGAAACAAAAUAAAACAAUUGGACUGAAAACUUCCCUAAUUUGCAGUAAAAUCAAGCGAUGACCCCCAAGCUAAAAUUCUGCAAUCAACUUCAAGGGUGGAAAUAACCAAAAGUUCCUGCAAAGAAAAGGAAAAAUUCAGUUAAGUACGCAAGAAAAUUAAUUAAAAAAAAUUGCAAACGAAAAAUUGAAAAUUACGAUAAAAGAUAAUGAAUAAAACUAAUAAGUAAUCAUUGGUCGUGCUUGUUGACUUUCCACAGCUUUCCUCUUGAACGGGGUGACACUUAGCUUUUUACUAUUUGAUGAUAUUGUACGGCGGAGCUUUGCUCUUUGGGAAUGUUGCAGUUCCUUAUUUGUUCUCCAAGCAGAUGUGGCAGCUUCUCUUGUUCUUCAUCUCAGACUCCUUCUGCUGGGAUGAUUGUGCAAGCUGCAUUCUUCUCUGCUUGUUUCCUCUGCAUGGCGGGCAGGCACGAGGGAGAGGUGUUGGUCUGUUUCUUUCUUCAAUCUUUCCAAGUGCCCACCUCUUGCUCUCUUUCUCCUUGUCCUUAGUUGAGGAUGAAUCAGCACGUUGUCUCCACAUGCUUCGAGGUAUCAUCUUCACUUCCCUUAUAAGUGAGAAACAAAGCGAAAGCACAAGAUGAUGAGUACUCGAGAGCAGGUGCUGGCUGGAGAAAGGACAGGGAGAAAGCAUGAUAUGAGAUACUCUUGCUUUCAACCUUCAUGAUAUGAAAUACUUUUGCUUUGAAUGGGUUGUUCGCAGGAGUAUCCCAAGGAAUGAGGAAUACAGAGUGACUCGAGAGGGUUCUUUGGGAAUGCAUUUUUGGAGAUGAAGAAGUGUUGAGAGGGUGUGCUGAGAGAGUGUGCUUUUGCUGUGGAAGGCGAAGGUAGAAACUUAUAGGACUUGUCUUCACAACCGGAACUGUUCUCUCACUUAGUGUCGGCAGCCGGUGGAUGGGUGAAGAAUACAAAUUACGCGCUUUCUGACAAAGCUGCCCGUAAUUUCCGCAAAGCUGCCAGUUGCAUGUGACAAGUGCUGACUAGGCUGAGAGAGACAGAUGGUUGGAAUCGGCACUUCGAGCUCUGAGCAUCGUCGAUUGUAGAGGUAGCAUGUGACACGUGCGGAUAAAUCUGGAAAAGAAGAUUUGCCCGUGGGUUGAAGCCCAGCUUUUGAGAAAGCUAGCGUGUCUUUGACUGUUGAAUUUCCCUCUUCGAUUUCUGAAUUGGUGCUUCGACAAACUGCCCGAGAUUUCCGCAAAGCAAUUUACGUGUGACAAGUGACGACACGUCCGGACAAAUUGAUCUUUUGAAAUCCGGGGUUCUGCUCGUGGUUUCUGAGCAAGCCCAGCCUUUAAGAAAUGAAACGCCUCUUUUGAGAAAAGAAUCCGGCUUUUGAGAAAGGAGCCCCGACUCUUCGAUUUGCGAGAGGACGCUUCUCUGAGGAGCGCCUCUCCGAUUUCUUCUUUUUAUAGAGGCGUUAAGCUUGUUCCACAACACACUUGAGCACCCUCCUGUAAACACUCCCUUCUUGCACUUGUUUAAUCUUGAUCAUUCCGACUCUCUUCUUUCUUCACCACCUCUUAAAAAUGUCUGGCCCUUCUGAUCGUCGUUUUGACUUGAACAUUGGUGAAGAGGCAGCUCCGCCUUCACCAGACAACAUAUGGCGGCCAACCUUCAUAUCCCCUACCGGUCCUCUUACCGUGGGGGAUUCGGUGAUAAAAAAUGACAUGACCGCUGCGGUGGUGGCCCGAAACCUUGUCACUCCCAGAGAUAACAGACUGCUCGCUAGACGGUCCGAUGAAUUGGCGGUUAAGGAGUCUCUGGCUCUUAGCGUGCAGUGUGCGGGUUCUGUAUCCAACAUGGCCCAACGCCUAUUUGCUCGAACCCGUCACGUUGAAUCGUUGGUGGCUGAAAUACAGAGUCUCAAAGAGGAGAUUAGAGGACUCAAACAUGAAAAUAAACAAUUGCACAAGCUUGCACACAAUUAUGCCACAACCAUGAAGAGGAAGAUUGACCAGAUGCAGGACACCGAUGGUCAAAUUUUACUUGAUCAUCGGAGGUUUGUGGGUUUGUUCCAACAACAUCUGCCUUCGUCUUCUGGAGCGGCACCGCGUAGUGAAGCUCCAACUGAUCAACCUCUGCCGCCUCCUCCUUCUGUGGCCCCGCCGACUGCUGAAGCCCCGCCUACUACUGAAGCACCACCCGACCAAUGAAUACUAUUAGUUUACAUUAUUGUAAAAUAUUUGUACUUUUUUUUUUUUUUUUUUUUUUUUAAAUUUUUAUUUUUUUUUUAAUUUUUUUUAUGUAUUUUUUUUUUAUCAUUAAUUUUAAAUUUUAUCUUUUUUUUUUUUUUUUAUGUAAAUUAAUGUAAAGAGACUUUGGUUAAUCUUCCCCCACACUUAAACUAAAUAACACAAACUCACAGAAAUCAACCAAAUAACACAACUAACUAAACAAAACAAAAUGAAAGCAGUAAAGAUAAGGUUGGAAGAAUGCAAAGCUGAUUGGGUUAGCGAUUCCAAAGUCUCCCUUCGUUGAAUGCUUGGGUUGCCUCCCAAGAAGCGCUUGAUUUAACGUCUUUAGCCGGACGCAUCUUUCCUUUAAAUUUCCCUCGGCUCCAUUUGAACCUAAAAUCAAAGAAAGAAAAAUAAAUCAAAUAUCAAAAGUAAAAUACACAAACACCAAUAUAAACAUAAACAAAAACAAAAAUAAAAGGAUUAGCAAAGUUGCUAAUCCCCGGCAACGGCGCCAAAAUUUGAUGUGAAAAUUUCUUGACACACAAAUUAAACCCUCUUUUUGACAAUUGUAGUAUAGAUGUAAGUAGGGUAUCGUUCUAGGCCGGGGAUUAGGAGGGAUUGCUAAUCUAUUGUAAAUUAAUUUAAAAAUAUUAAAUAAGACUCAAGGACACAAAACUAGGCUAAAAACUCUAAUAACUCGAAACACACUUAAAAUGACUCAAAAUAAUGAAAACAAUUAAAUUAAACACUAGGAACUGAAAUGGACGGAAAUUAAAUUAAAAGACUAACAAUAAAGAAAACUAACUAAAUAAUAUAAUUUAAUAAUGGAUGGGUGUUUGGUUUUGAUGAAAAGUAAAUUAAACUUAAUUAAAUUACAGAAUUGACAAAAAUAUGAAAUUAAGGUGAAAGAAUAGGUGACAGACUAGCUAGAGGGUUCUUCUCCACACAUGUUAUACUUGCAUACAAAAUGAUUUCCAGUUGUUCAUUUAAUAAAUUGUAAAUUUCAAUACUCCAGAUUAACCGUGAACAGCACUUUUUUAAUCUUCAAGUUUUCCUUAAGUUAUUGAAUUGGACGGAAAAACGCAUACAACAAUUCAAAACAUUCUUCAAAAGUCCCCUACGUGAAAAGCACAAUAGCGAUACAAUCAAAGAUCAUUAAACUUUGUGAAAACUAUAAGCAUUGACGAGGCAUUCGUAACUAUGAAAAAGCAUGAUACUCUUGCCAAGAAUUUACUUAACGUGAUUGUGACUAGCAACCUUUACUACUUGUGAAAAUAAGUUCAUAACGAUUAGGUGAAAUUUCACUUAUAUUCUAGCAUCAAAUUCAUGCAUGUAAAUUAAGCGUGCACUCUCAACCAACAUACACAAAUCAGUUUUUAUACGAACGGAUAAGUAAAUUGAAUUCACAACUUAUAACUCACAACUGAAGGUAAUCAAUUCAUAUUACAAAUAUAUUCAUGGUUUCGAAUUAACCUCUAACCAACAUAAAUUUAAUUACACAUUAUUAAAAACAGAAAUAAAAGAGGAGUUUGAAAAGAUUAAACCGAAAGAAAUAGAGUGAAGCCUCUAAUUUUCUUGCUGCCUUGCUCUCUGGAGCUUUUCUUUUGUAUUGCUGUGCUUCCCCGCCAGUCUCUCCCUGCGCUGUCCAUCUCUUAUAUUUUUCUGUGCAGCUUGCAGUUUUGCUGCUUCUCUCACUCCCGUCUGACCUCUGCCACGCUGCCAAGGCAGCGUUCCUUUUCGCGUCAAUCCUCCCCUGUUUUUC
rnacentral:lncRNA from 1 species